AUCUUCUUCAUUAGGCCGAAAUUUCAAGGGUUCUCCAUAGCUAAGGUUUGUUUCAAGCUUUCAAGCUCCAUAGGAGUUUUGUCAAGCUAACUCGGGGAUCGUAAAGUACGUCAGAGGUCCGGGCACACUAUCACAAGGAUUAUUUUGGUAUAGUUAAACGUUUCAUUUUGAGUAUGGCAUAUAUAGCAUCGUAGCCAUUUUGUGUGUAUUAUCUUAUGAUAUGGCUAAUAAAUGGUAUGUAAACGCUUGAUAAUGAUUAGCUGUUGGAAUGGCUAAUUAAGGACAUGUUUGGUGUUA